CAAUGAAUAAGUUAGUUUAUUAUCCAAAUUAAAAAACAUUAAUGCAAGUCAGUGGUGAAAAUAAAAAUAGCUGGGUGUUCCAUACAGUUCUUAAAUACACAUUGUAUUCUCAAGGCCUAAUACAAAACACACGGCUUAUCAAUAACACUGCAGGGCUUAAAUCAUUGGAGAUGUAUAAAAGAUUCAACUUUUGGAUAUAAAACCACAAAAAGAUUACAUGUGCAACAUGUCAAAUCAAUAGAUAACAAACAUAAAAGAUUUUGUUAAAAUACUGACAGAUCGGUGUUUGUGAAAAGAGGUGCAUUUUACUACAAAACUACAGAGAAAGACACCUAAAGGUUUAUUUAACAGUGAAUUGUGGUUAAUCGAAAACACAGUUUACAUUUUACGUUUAAAUAGCCAAGCUGCGAUUAUAGCAGUGUUGACUUUUUCAAACCAGCUAUUUUUGCAGUUUAGUUUUAAAUUUACGACAAUUGCGGUUUGGUGAAUUGACCAUAAAAUCCGUUAUUAAGGUGUCCUUUGAUCUUAAUUUGAGAUAAAUGGUAAUUAUAAAUGUACUUUUACUCCAUAAUUAUGAAUGGACACAACUAAAUAAUAGCUAUUAGAAAAAAGCCAUUAUAUAUCACAAUGCUGUGCAAUGGGCAAACCAAAUGUAGGGAUAUAUUUUGAGAGGUUUAAUCAUAUGAAAAGAAAGGGAACUUGGGCUUCGCUUAAAACGCGAUUCAUGUGUAAUAACAUCCCUUAAGCCCUUCAAUAGCAGAAUAGAGUAUAAAAAUUUUCUUUUCAUGUAUUUUUCAAUAGAAAAUCUAGGCCAUAAAGCCUCAGUCACACUCUUUUAUACUCUAGUUAUAAUUAUCACCCUGUAGAGAAACAAAUUUCCAGAAAUCACUAAUAUAAUGAAUGUAAACUAAUAAAAAUGUCCGCUCACUCCCUGCAUUCAAAUGGUACAGGAACUUUCUCUGGGUGAUACCAUUCUUACAGCCAGGAAGGAGGUGUGAAUGGACUCUACCAUUUCACGGUCAGCAUUACAUUAGCAUUCCAGAGAAUGACAAAUAUUGAUAUAGAAUUUUUAAAUACCUUUAUUUCACAGAUAUAUAAGUGGGAGUUAAGUUCAAAGGCAGACAUUCUUUUUACAUUAUGUUGCAAUUUUUAGAAAACUGGACUACUGGUUACACCUUGCAAAUACCUAAGAGCAAGGGCUUUGACCAUUUUGAUUUGUAAAUUUUUGUUACACCUACUGUAUGUGAGAACAAAUUGCAGUUUUGCUUUGGUACUAACGUUUCAGACUCUGUGAUAAAUAUUGCAAGAUAAAUGACAUAGUACCAUCUGUAAAGCUUUACAUUUCCCAAAUAUUUUUUAUAAAGUUUGAAUGAAUAAGUGAAAUUUAUAAAUCGUGUAAAUGCACAGAUUUUUCAAUUUUAAAACAUUUAUCUGUAAAACAAUCUAUGCACCAAAUUGCUGUGUUGUGUUAUGAUACGUUUAUAGGCUAGCUAUGAAUCCAUUGCUUCAAAUAAAUUUUAUGCUAUUUUUUCAAUCAAAAAAUGCUCGGUAGUAAAGGGGCUAAAAAGACAUUGUGGGCACUCCUGAGUAUUCAUCUUGAAACAAAGAUUUGAUCGUGCUGCUAAAUGGCAGCAUAUAUUAGCCAACCUAUAAGAUGGUUUAGUUUUCUUAAAGCAUCACUAUAGGGUCAGGAACACAAACAUGUAUUCCUGACCCUAUAGUGUUAAAACCACCAUCUAGCCCCCCUGGCCCCCUCAAGCCUCCAUAAAUAUAGUAAAAAUCUUACUGUAUUCAAGCCUGAAGCUGUAGAUCUGCAUGCUGUUAGACUAAAAAAAACAGCAGUCUGCUGACAUCAUCAGAAGUGGUAGCCUGAUCCAAUCAAAAUGCUUCCCCAUAGGAUUGGCUGAGACUGACAAGGAGGCAGAUCAGGGGCAGAGACAGCAUGAUUCAAACACAGCCCUGGCCAAUCAGCAUCUCCUCAUAGAGAUGAAUUGAAUCAAUGAAUCUCUAUGAGGAAAGUUCAGUGUCUGCAUGCAGAGGGAGAAGAUUCUGAAUGUUUGGAUGUAUUUUAGGCAGGCAUGACCCAGGAAGGAUCUCUAACAGCCAUCUGAGGAGUGGCCAGUGAAGUUAUCACUAAGGUGUAAUGUAAACACUGCAUUUUCUCUGAAAAGACAGUGUUUAGAGCAAAAAGCCUGAAGGUAAUGAUUCUACUCACCAGAACAAAUUCAAUAAGCUGUAGUUGUUCUAGUGACUAUAGUGUCCCUUUAAAUAACUAUUCUUUGCCAAAAAAAAAAUAAUCUAAUUUUUAAAAAAAUUAAAAUUGUUGUGUGUCUUUUAACAUCGUGCCAUUCAAUUUAAUGCCAUGACUUUGUUUUAUACUAUUUGUCUUUAAAAUGCAUGACGAUACUGGGGUGGCAUCGCAAGCUCGUUAUUCUAGCCUAUAUCUCUAUGUUUCCAAACAAAAACUUAAAUUCUAUGUGUAUACUAAUGUAAUCUUUUAUGUAAUUAUAUGUAUU